rnacentral:rRNA from 1 species
GGAUUCCCAGCAGCCCGCGGUAAUACGUAGGUGGCAAGCGUUGUCCGGAUUUAUUGGGCGUAAAGCGAGCGCAGGCGGUUUCUUAAGUCUGAUGUGAAAGCCCCCGGCCCUAUUAGGGAGGGUCAUUGGAAACUGGGAGACUUGAGUGCAGCAUAGGAGAGUGGAAUUCCAUGUGUAGCGGUGAAAUGCGUAGAUAUAUGGAGGAACACCAGUGGCGAAGGCGGCUCUCUGGUCUGUAACUGACGCUGAGGCUCGAAAGCGUGGGGAGCAAACAGGAUUAGAUACCCUGGUAAAAUAA